UCCGUAGGCGGGCGUCUAAGUCAGUGGUGAAAUCUUACAGCUCAACUGUAAAAUUGCCAUUGAUACUGGAUGUCUUGAAUUAGUGUGAAGUGGUUAGAAUGUGUAGUGUAGCGGUGAAAUGCAUAGAUAUUACACAGAAUACCAAUUGCGAAGGCAGAUCACUAACACUAUAUUGACGCUGAGGGACGAAAGCGUGGGGAGCGAACAGGAUUAGAUACCCUGGUAAUCC
rnacentral:rRNA from 1 species